rnacentral:lncRNA from 1 species
AUCCCGUUUUGAUUGUCCUUUAAUUGGAAAAACUCCCUUAUCUACGCCCUUCGCCGGGUUGUAGUAGCCAAAAGGAGGUGUGACAGCUCACCUACUAGGGGUCUGGCAUGAGGUUAAGUUAUUCUGUGUUUCAAAACCUGGGUAUUUAUUCUAGGCUAUGCACCCGAGCGGACAACUCGAGUUGAGGAGUGGGCUACGUACCGGGGACCUGCAAGAUCAUCCAGCGUUGUAACUUGUCCGAGCCUCUUUCUUAUCAAGGUAUAACACUAAAAGAAUAUGGAGUCUUGACCAGCGAGCACAUCCCCGAAGGUAAGAAGAGAAAGGUUUCGUAACAGUGUAUAUGUACAGUUCAAAUAAUAUUAAAGCGGUAAAAGCAUCAUUUUGCACAUUAAGUCAACGUGUAGAAUCAGAUAACAAUGCCAAAUACAAAAAUUAUUCUAAGCUCGAAUUCUUUAACUCUGAACCAGAGAUUCUGGGUUCGCCCCAGCAGAGUCGUCAGAUCUGUCACACCUCCUUUUGGCUACUACAACCCGGCGAAAGAAGUAGAUAAUGGAGUUUUCCAAAUUAAAAGACAAUCGAAACUAAGAGAUUUCGGAGUUGCCACUAGGGAUAAUUAAUGGUGUCCCAAGUCACCAGUUAAAUCCCGAAUCGAAGAAAGAAUGACU